AUUGAACGCUGGCGGCAGGCCUAACACAUGCAAGUCGAACGGUAGCACAGAGAGCUUGCUCUCGGGUGACGAGUGGCGGACGGGUGAGUAACGUCUGGGAAACUGCCCGAUGGCGGGGGAUAACUACUGGAAACGGUAGCUAAUACCGCAUAACGUCGCAAGACCAAAGUGGGGGACCUUCGGGCCUCACACCAUCGGAUGUGCCCAGAUGGGAUUAGCUAGUAGGUGGGGUAAUGGCUCACCUAGGCGACGAUCCCUGGCUGGUCUGAGAGGAUGACCAGCCACACGGGAACGAGGACACGGUCCAGACUCAUACGGUAGGCAGCAGUGGGGAAGAUUGCACAAUGGGCGCAAGCCUGAUGCAGCCAGGCCGCGUGUAUGAAGAAGGCCUUCGGGAUGUAAAGUACUUUCAGCGGGGAGGAAGGCGGUGAAGUUAUAACUUCACCGAUUGACGUUACCCGCAGAAGAAGCACCGGCUAACUCCGUGCCAGCCGCCGCCGUAA
rnacentral:rRNA from 1 species